rnacentral:lncRNA from 10 species
GUGGGGGGGCGCUGUCUUUAGCAGGGAAUAAUUGAAGCACAAACGGCUGGUUUAUCUUUUCUUGGCCUUCAUUGUGGGUCUACUGUGGACUGCAUCUUCUGUGUAAGAUGCACUAAAGGAGCCUGCCUUUUGUCAGUUUGCACGUUGAUUUGAGACUCUUGUCCAAGAUUUCUUUCUGCAUUUUCAUUCAUUGCUUUGAAGUCAGUCUGAGUUUUAGUCUGGUCCUGCCCCUUGGGACUGCAGGAGGGGACAAAGGGGAACUCCCUGGAGUUUGAGAUUUGGGAAGAAUGUGCAGAGGGAAAAUGAGCAAAUGCCAAAUGUGCCGGCACUGCCAGCAGACGCGAGUGAGGGAUGGGGGCGCCUGAUAGCCCACAUCUCCAGGAGCAGAUUGUAAGCGUAAUCUCAAGGAUUCAUCCGCAGGGAGGAUCUGGGCAAGAACAAAAGCCCAGAAGUUUCUGUUUGUGUGGCAAGAUACAGAAACAGUGUGGGCUGAGAAGCAGAGGGGCAGGUCCUGCCUUUCGUGUAGCAAAAUGACAAUUACCCCAUCUUUCAGCAGGCUGUGCAGGAAGAGCUUUCCUUCCUUACGGAAUCUCCCAGCCCCUAAUUCUAUAAUACUACUCGCUUAGUUUGGCUGUGGUGAAACCCACCUUGUCCUCUACUAAAGAUAUGGAACGAAGACCUCGUCAGUCAAUCUUCCAUGAUCCCGGCCACCGCAAUUGGCUCAGGUCGUUGCUGCCAUGAAGUAAGAGUCUGUCUGGAAAUGAAGGCGAGCAGAGGCCACAAAGCUGAGACAUGGAGACAGAGAGAGUCCUGAUGUUAUUAUUUGAACCAUUGAGUCCAGCUGUGCCUGAAACUCUUCAGUGAGCCAAGAAAUUCCUUUUUGGCUUAAGCCAAUUGGAGUCGUGUUUGUGAUACUUGCAAAUGAAAGGAGUUAUUGACUAAUAAAACUGCCAUUUCUAUCUCUCCAAGAAUUAGGAAAUACUUCUUUAAAACUGUUUAUUUGCAGUAUGCUUUAUUCCUUCCCACAAAAAAGAGGCAGCUUAUAAAAGUAAAUAUGAAAAAUAGGCACAAAGGGUGUAUAAUACAUGAAAUACAUGUGUAUAUGUCUAGCACAGUCUUUAUAUUAAGUUGACAAAAAUUAUUAUUAUUAUUAUUAUUUUUGCAACAGAGUUUCACUCUUGUCACCCAGGCUGGAGUUCAAUGGCAUGAUCUCGGCUCACUGCAACCUCCACCUCCUGGGUUCAAGUGAUUCUCCAGCUUCAGCCUCCCGAGUAGCUGGAAUUACAGGUGCCCGCCACCACCAGCCCAGUUAAUUUUUGUAUUUUUGGUAGAGAUGGGGUUUCACCAUGUAGGCCAGGCUGGUCUUGAAUUCCUGACCUCAGGUGAUCUGCCUACCUUGGCCUCCCAAAGUGCUGGGAUUACAGGCGUAAGUCACUGCACCUGGCCCAAAAAUUAUUUUUUAAGUUACAGUACGAACUACUGCUGAGGGUGCUGGGUAAUUAACAUUGUUGGAGAAAUUAUAAACUGGUGCAAACCUUCUGGAGAUAAAUUUGACAAUGCUUAUUCAUAUCCAUUGUUUGUCUAUAAUCAACCAUUCUUCUUUUAGGAAUGCAUCUGAAAGAAAUAAUUACAUAAAUAAGGAGAUAUGCAAAGAUUUAGCUAUGAGAAUGAUUGUUUAAUCACCAGAAGUUGGAAAACAGCCUGAAUAUCCAAUGACAUAAAAACAAAAUUGGCGGGGCGCGGUGGCUCACGCCUGUAAUCCCAGCACUUUGGGAGGCCGAGGCGGGCGGAUCACAAGGUCAGAGAUCGAGACCAUCCUGGCUAAGACGGUGAAACCCCAUCUCUACUAAAAAUCAAAAAAUUAGCCGGGCCUGGUGGCGGGUGUCUGUAGUCCCAGCUACUUGGGAGGCUGAGGCAGGAGAAUGGCCUGAACCCAGGAGGCGGAGCUGGCAGUGAGCCGAGAUGAUGCCACUGCACUCCAGCCUGGGCGACAGAGAGAGACUCUGUCUCAAAAAAAAAAAAAAAAAAUUAUCUGUCCACCAAUUGGAAUACCAUGUAUUUAUUAAAAUAAUGAUGUGGAAUUUUAUUUACUGACUUGGAACAAUAUUCAUAUAUUGUGAACUGGCUUUGGACUAAUACAUUUAAAUUCUCCCUAGGCUGACUGGGCGCGGUGGUCCGUGCCUGUAAUCCCAGCACUAUGGGAGGCUGAGACGGGUGGAUCACUUGAGAGCAGGAAUUUGAGACCAGCCUGGCCAAGAUGGUGAAACUCCAUCUCUACAAAAAUACAAAAAUUAGCCAGGCAUGGUGGCAUGCACCUGUAAUCCCAGCUACUCAGGAGGCUGAGGCAGGAGAAUCGCUUGAACCCGGGAGGUGGAGGUUGCAGUGAGCCGAGAUUGCACCACUGCACUCCACCGUGGGUGACAGAGUGAGAUGCUGUCUCAAUAAAAUAAAAUAAAACAAUUAAUUCUCCCUAGGCUGCAGCAAGAAUCGAAUGAAUCACUCUUAACCCCAUGCCAAACAAACAAACAAACAAACAAAAAAACCCUACUUGUUGGUUGUGGGCCUUAAAAAGAGAGCUGUAUAGAAGUGGCAAAAAUUAAGUUUGUGUAUCCUUGCUUGGGUCAAAUUUGGCUGUCCAUAGAUAUGAGGUUAAUUUUUUCCUGUUAGAGCAUGUGCUGGUUCUAUCUAUACAUGCUCCAAUUUUCAAAUAUUUCACUAAUAUUAGGAGAUUAUCUGUUGGCAUUGAGUUGGGUCUCAAAGUAUCAUCUAUUCUAGACCAAUGGUCACCAAAAUGUAUGUAUCCUCAAAAUAAAGCACUGGU